UACGUAGGUGGCAAGCGUUGUCCGGAAUUAUUGGGCGUAAAGCGCGCGCAGGUGGUUCCUUAAGUCUGAUGUGAAAGCCCACGGCUCAACCGUGGAGGGUCAUUGGAAACUGGGGAACUUGAGUGCAGAAGAGGAAAGUGGAAUUCCAUGUGUAGCGGUGAAAUGCGUAGAUAUCGAGAGGAACACCUGCGGCGAAGGCGGGUUGCUGGGCUGACACUGACGCUGAAGCGCGAAAGCUAGGGGAGCGAACGGG
rnacentral:rRNA from 1 species